UACGUAGGGGGCUAGCGUUGUCCGGAAUCAUUGGGCGUAAAGAGCGUGUAGGCGGUCCGGUAAGUCCGCUGUGAAAGUCGGGGGCUCAACCCUCGAAUGCCGGUGGAUACUGUCGGGCUAGAGUGCGGAAGAGGCGAGUGGAAUUCCUGGUGUAGCGGUGAAAUGCGCAGAUAUCAGGAGGAACACCUAUUGCGAAGGCAGCUCGCUGGGACGUAACUGACGCUGAGGAGCGAAAGCCAGGGGAGCAAACGGG
rnacentral:rRNA from 1 species